rnacentral:rRNA from 1 species
CGUGUAGGCGGGGGAUUAAGUUAGGUGUGAAAGCCACGGGCUCAACCCAUGAAUUGCACCUAAUACUGGUUCUCUUGAGUUCGGGAGAGGAGAGCGGAAUUCCCGGUGUAGCGGUGAAAUGCGUAGAUAUCGGGAAGAACACCAGUGGCGAAGGCGGCUCUCUGGCCCAGAACUGACGCUGAGGCGCGAAAGCGUGGGGAGCGAACG